GACGAACGCUGGCGGCGUGCUUAACACAUGCAAGUCGAACGGAAAGCCCUGCUUUUGUGGGGUGCUCGAGUGGCGAACGGGUGAGUAACACGUGAGUAACCUGCCCUUGACUUUGGGAUAACUUCAGGAAACUGGGGCUAAUACCGGAUAGGAGCUCCUGCUGCAUGGUGGGGGUUGGAAAGUUUCGGCGGUUGGGGAUGGACUCGCGGCUUAUCAGCUUGUUGGUGGGGUAGUGGCUUACCAAGGCUUUGACGGGUAGCCGGCCUGAGAGGGUGACCGGCCACAUUGGGACUGAGAGACGGCCCAGACGCCUACGGGAGGCAGCAGUGGGGAAUAUUGCACAAUGGGCGGAAGCCUGAGGCAGCAACGCCGCGUGCGGGAUGACGGCCUUCGGGGUGUAAACCGCUUUCGCCUGUGACGAAGCGUGAGUGACGGUAAUGGGUAAAGAAGCACCGGCUAACUACGUG
rnacentral:rRNA from 1 species